rnacentral:rRNA from 1 species
CCCUUAGAUGUUCUGGGCCGCACGCGCGCUACACUGAUGCAUUCAACAAGCCUAGCCUUGACCGAGAGGUCCGGGUAAUCUUUGAAACUGCAUCGUGAUGGGGCUAGAUUAUUGCAACUAUUAAUCUUCAACGAGGAAUGCCUAGUAAGCGUGAUUCAUCAAAUCGCGUUGAUUACGUCCCUGCCCUUUGUACACACCGCCCGUCGCUCCUACCGAUUGAAUGUGUUGGUGAGGAGCUCGGAUUGGCAGCAGUUGGUGGUUCGCCACCGGCUAUUGCUGAGAAGUCCUCCAAACCGCCCCAUUUAGAGGAAGGAGAAGUCGUAACA